GUAACCAAACAUGGCCCAAACGUACGUUUGGAUCAAACCAAAGGGAGCCCAUGGAGCAGGGAGGUGGAUCCUCUACAACCCGUGCUUCUUCGUCUACUGCUAGCUUCUCACCUACCGCAGCAAUCUGUAGGCGCAACAUCUGUAGGCGGCGCCGCAGCAACCCGUGCGUUCUUUGUUAGAUCUCUACUGCUAGCUUCUCGGCGGCGUAGUAAGCAGACGGCGGCCCAGAUCUGCCGCGGAGGAGCUCGACCGCGAUGGAGAGGGUUUCAUCAGCUCUAGAAAUGGAUGAGGCUGCCUCAACUGAUCAAUCAAGCAGAUUAACAAAAAGAAGGGCUAAAGUUUGGGAUUACGUUGAUACAGAGGUAGUAGAUGGGAAAGAGAAGGCAGUCUGCAAAUAUUGUAAGGUCCACUUAUCUUCUGCUGUGGGUAAAGGUACAACUCAUCUGAAUAGGCACAUUUUUGUGUAUUGCCAUGCAAUUCCACAAGAAGAGAGACAAAUGUUCUUAGCGACCCAAAAAACAAAGCCUGGCGAUGAUCAUGUUUUCGACCCAGUAGUCUUUCAUGGUCUAAUAGCCAAGUACUUCCUUAGCGCAGAGAUUUCAUUUCGAAAGUGUGAAGAUCCAUCCUGGAAAGAAAUGAUAAUUUACUAUCAACCAUCUUUUCGAUUA